GAGAAGCUGACCAUAAUGAUCCGUACUCAACGUCUACUAGGCCUACUACUUAACGCAUCUUUAUUGCGCGGUAUGUUGGUGGACAGAGUUCAGAGCUGAUUCAGCCCAUCAAUCAUCAGACCCGCGCUACUGCGCGGGUUUUUUU
rfam:Chania multitudinisentens RB-25, complete genome.